GGAGACACGUUGGAGCAGAGGGAUUCCCCGCCCCCGAAGCACGCUGUCAACGCAGGUGAAGACGGGGAGUCCGCAUCUGUCAAACCUGCAAACUUCAGCCGAUUCCUGAAAGUAAAGCGAAACAAAUUGGGCUCGGAGAAGGGGGUCCCCGGUCGGAAACUCUGCACAGAAGCUGUGUGACUAAUUGAGUUUCUGUUAUUGUUUCAGAUUACACCUGUCGUUUUAUUUGUUUUCUGAAAGUAAGCAAUCAAUCGACUACCAAUAAUGUGAGCGUUUCUCGCUCAGGCAUCCUGUAUUAGGUAAAGUCACAACAACUUUUCAACUGGAGUCGGAAUCUGAGUAUUCGGGAAUCCAUGCGACGAUUUUUACCCCCGAAUAACUCGCAUUCAGGACUCUCAUCAGGGACCGGAAUCCCUGUCUGCCCCGUUAUGUAAACCCGUCACACCUGACUCUGCGACAGAACUCGGUCAUCCCGAAUCUACUCUCAAGCCCUCGCCUUUACCCAGGGUAACUGCCCCUCUAGCCCGCGUAGCGACUGUCUACAUGACGAGAACAUUGGGACCUCUCCCACCAGCACUCAGAGCCAGGAUGUGCCGAACGAGCUGCGACAGAAGAGCUCUAUAAACACUGAAACGGGUUAGUGGCAGGGCAGCUGGUGCCGGGAGUCACGCUUCAGUCUCCAGACCGGCUCUGGGGCGUUUGAGAAGAAAACUCGAGCAAGAAAAAGUGGUAAACGAUCCUCAGAGAUGUCUGAAAUUGUAUCAAAAGCCCUUGACAACAGUAAACUCCCAAAACCCAUCUUGGUGGUCACCAGAGGGCCCUUGGGAUUCACGGCCUGAGGGCUGGUUAUCACUGAUGCCCUGAUCUACCUCGCGGCACAAUCCAGCAGCAAGGCCUUAAGCUCAGCAAAGUCCGUGAUGAGUAGGUCGGUCUAUGGGAAUGGCAUGGACAGAAACUGUGGAUGGUAGGCUGGAUUAUGCAGGAUCCAGACAAUUAAACUUUAUAUGUUGAUACAGUUCUGCAUUGCUGAAGAAAAGCAAGGAAGCUCCUUCUGUUUCUUACUCUGUACUUAUCUUCUUUCGAGCAGAAGCUACAAAUGUCUAUUAAUUAGUUCCCGAGUACAAUAAGUGUAACUCCUGAGCUCACAAUUUAUCUUGUUGUGAUCUUGCACCCUGUUGUCUACCUGCACUGUACCUUCUCUGUAACUGUUACACUUUAUUCUGCAUUGUUAGAGUUUUACCUUGCACUGUGUAAUGAUCUGUGCAUAUACCGGCUGGUGGCGCAGUGACAUCAGCGCCGGAUGCUGGAACGGAGGUUCCCAGUUCACGAGUACGCUUUCCAUCCAUGCCGGGUUGAGUGUUGAGCUCACAACUCGACCUCGUAAAAUAAAGAAAAAUACUGCGAAAUGUCUGUGUGAGGAGUGACGCGCCACACAGUCUUUCGUUGCGCGCCUUGUAAGGCAUGAAAAUGCCCGAUGCUGGCCUCUCAGGCCUGAGUCUACGCCAUCGUUGUCAUCAUCAUGGUGUAAUGAUCUGAACUGUAUGAACGUUAUGCAAGACAAGCUUGUCACAGUAUCCAUUACAAAUCAACACGGAUGCCUACUCUAGAAGCUAGGUCACUGGAGGGGAUCCUGUCAGUGGAACGUUGCUGAGGCUACUUAUAGAAAUGGGAAGGGUUUAAACUAAUUUGGAAGGGGGUUGAGUGCAACGUUCCUUCUCAGAUGUAGGCAUGUGUGCGCGCACACAUCUCUUGCUACUAGCGCACAAAGAAAUUUAAAUGACACACAAAAGGUUGUCACCCUCUACUUCAUUGGCACGUUAAGUAUAUUUCACGAUCAUACACAAUCACAUUUCCUUUUCCAGUUUCUGAUGCGGAUGGUGUUGACAAGGUGGAGUUUGCGAUGAUUUGUCUGCAUAUUUUAGGACUUGCUUAUUUAUACUGUUUUUAUUCAAGAAAUUAUUGGUUCACUAUGUUAAAUUGCAAAGAAGCAAAGGCCCUGAAGGGCAAAAGAGCUGUGAGUUCAUUUAAAGCAGAAUGGCACUGCUACACUGAAAACUCAUAAGGUCAGGAGCCCGCAGCUACGAGAAUUUUUUAUGUACAAUAAAGAAAAUGGUGUUACCUGUGUGUACUGACAUGAUGCAAAAUGUGCUGGAGAACUUGCAAGUGAGAGGAAGUGGAGUGAUAUUCAGAAACUUGACUUUUUAAAAGUGUCAUUUAGCAAGCAAAUCACAUAUAGAUGGUAUGCAAAAGCUCUGGUGAGAAAAUUCUUCAUUAUCCGCUACAGGCCUGUUACGUAUGCUUUGUGAGAGUGCAGAUGAACGAGAG